rnacentral:rRNA from 1 species
GUGCACGCUGGCGGCAGGCCUAACACAUGCAAGUCGAACGGCAGCACAAGAGAGCUUGCUCUCUGGGUGGCGAGUGGCGGACGGGUGAGGAAUGCAUCGGAAUCUGCCCAUUUGUGGGGGAUAACCUCGGGAAACCGGGACUAAUACCGCAUACGACCUACGGGUGAAAGCAGGGGAUCUUCGGACCUUGCGCAGAUGGAUGAGCCGAUGCCGGAUUAGCUAGUUGGAGGGGUAGAGGCCCACCAAGGCGACGAUCCGUAGCUGGUCUGAGAGGAUGAUCAGCCACACUGGGACUGAGACACGGCCCAGACUCCUACGGGAGGCAGCAGUGGGGAAUAUUGGACAAUGGGCGCAAGCCUGAUCCAGCCAUGCCGCGUGUGUGAAGAAGGCCUUCGGGUUGUAAAGCACUUUUGUUGGGAAAGAAAAGCAGCCGGUUAAUACCCGGUUGUCAUGACGGUACCCAAAGAAUAAGCACCGGCUAACUUCGUG